GACGAACGCUGGCGGCGUGCCUAAUACAUGCAAGUCGAGCGGACCGGAUUGGGGCCUGCCUUGAUUCGGUCAGCGGCGGACGGGAGAGUAACACGUGGGCAACCUGCCCGCAAGACCGGGAUAACUCCGGGAAACAGGAGCUAAUACCGGAUAACACCGAAGACCGCAUGGUCUUCGGUUGAAAGGCGGCCUUUGGGCUGUCACUUGCGGAUGGGCCCGCGGCGCAUUAGCUAGUUGGUGAGGAAACGCGUCCCCAAGGCGACGAUGCGUAGGCGGCCUGGGAGGGUGACCGGCCUCACUGGGAGUGGGACACGGCCCAGCAUCCUGGGGGUGGGAGCAGUAGGGGAUCUUCCGCGAUGGGCGAAAGCGUGAAGGAGCGACGCCGGGUGAGCGAAGGAGGCCUUCGUGUCGUGAAGCUCUGUUGUGAGGGAGGAAGGAGCGUCGUUCGAAGAGGGCGGCGCGGUGACGGUACCGCACGAGAAAGCCCCGGCUAACUACGUG
rnacentral:rRNA from 1 species